rnacentral:rRNA from 1 species
UACGAAGGGUGCGAGCGUUAUUCGGAAUCACUGGGCGUAAAGGGUGCGUAGACGGUGUGUUAAGUUUGUCGUUAAAGACUCUAGCCUAACUGGAGGGUUGCGAUGAAAACUAGCGCGCUAGAGGAUGAGAGAGAGAAGUGGAAUUCCCGGAGUAGCGGUAAAAUGCGUGGAUCUCGGGAGGAACACCAAUGGCGAAGGCAGCUUCUUGGCUCAUUCCUGACGUUGAGGCACGAAAGCGUGGGGAGCGAACAGG